GACGAACGCUGGCGGCGUGCCUAAUACAUGCAAGUUGAGCGCUGAAGGUUGGUACUUGUCCCAACUGGAUGAGCAGCGAACGGGUGAGUAACGCGUGGGGAAUCUGCCUUUGAGCGGGGGACAACAUUUGGAAACGAAUGCUAAUACCGCAUAAAAACUUUAAACACAAGUUUUAAGUUUGAAAGAUGCAAUUGCAUCACUCAAAGAUGAUCCCGCGUUGUAUUAGCUAGUUGGUGAGGUAAAGGCUCACCAAGGCGAUGAUACAUAGCCGACCUGAGAGGGUGAUCGGCCACAUUGGGACUGAGACACGGCCCAAACUCCUACGGGAGGCAGCAGUAGGGAAUCUUCGGCAAUGGACGAAAGUCUGACCGAGCAACGCCGCGGGAGUGAAGAAGGUUUUCGGAUCGUAAAACUCUGUUGGUAGAGAAGAACGUUGGUGGGAGUGGAAAGCUCAUCAAGUGACGGUAACUACCCAGAAAGGGACGGCUAACUACGUG
rnacentral:rRNA from 1 species